rnacentral:rRNA from 1 species
UGGAUUGCACGUCUAAGCAGUAAGGCUGAGUAUUAGGCAAAUCCGGUACUCGUUAAGGCUGAGCUGUGAUGGGGAGAAGACAUUGUGUCUUCGAGUCGUUGAUUUCACACUGCCGAGAAAAGCCUCUAGAUAGAAAAUAGGUGCCCGUACCGCAAACCGACACAGGUAGUCAAGAUGAGAAUUCUAAGGUGAGCGAGCGAACUCUCGUUAAGGAACUCGGCAAAAUGACCCCGUAACUUCGGGAGAAGGGGUGCUCUUUAGGGUUAACGCCCAGAAGAGCCGCAGUGAAUAGGCCCAAGCGACUGUUUAUCAAAAACACAGGUCUCUGCUAAACCGUAAGGUGAUGUAUAGGGGCUGACGCCUGCCCGGUGCUGGAAGGUUAAGAGGAGUGGUUAGCUUCUGCGAAGCUACGAAUCGAAGCCCCAGUAAACGGCGGCCGUAACUAUAACGGUCCUAAGGUAGCGAAAUUCCUUGUCGGGUAAGUUCCGACCCGCACGAAAGGCGUAACGAUUUGGGCACUGUCUCAACGAGAGACUCGGUGAAAUCAUAGUACCUGUGAAGAUGCAGGUUACCCGCGACAGGACGGAAAGACCCCGUGGAGCUUUACUGUAGCCUGAUAUUGAAAUUCGGCACAGCUUGUACAGGAUAGGUAGGAGCCUUUGAAACGUGAGCGCUAGCUUACGUGGAGGCGCUGGUGGGAUACUACCCUAGCUGUGUUGGCUUUCUAACCCGCACCACUUAUCGUGGUGGGAGACAGUGUCAGGCGGGCAGUUUGACUGGGGCGGUCGCCUCCUAAAAGGUAACGGAGGCGCUCAAAGGUUCCCUCAGAAUGGUUGGAAAUCAUUCAUAGAGUGUAAAGGCAUAAGGGAGCUUGACUGCGAGACCUACAAGUCGAGCAGGGUCGAAAGACGGACUUAGUGAUCCGGUGGUUCCGCAUGGAAGGGCCAUCGCUCAACGGAUAAAAGCUACCCCGGGGAUAACAGGCUUAUCUCCCCCAAGAGUUCACAUCGACGGGGAGGUUUGGCACCUCGAUGUCGGCUCAUCGCAUCCUGGGGCUGUAGUCGGUCCCAAGGGUUGGGCUGUUCGCCCAUUAAAGCGGUACGCGAGCUGGGUUCAGAACGUCGUGAGACAGUUCGGUCCCUAUCCGUCGUGGGCGUAGGAAAUUUGAGAGGAGCUGUCCUUAGUACGAGAGGACCGGGAUGGACAUACCUCUGGUGUACCAGUUGUCGUGCCAACGGCAUAGCUGGGUAGCUAUGUGUGGACGGGAUAAGUGCUGAAAGCAUCUAAGCAUGAAGCCCCCCUCAAGAUGAGAUUUCCCAACUUCGGUUAUAAGAUCCCUCAAAGAUGAUGAGGUUAAUAGGUUCGAGGUGGAAGCAUGGUGACAUGUGGAGCUGACGAAUACUAAUCGAUCGAAGACUUAAUCAA